UACAGAGGGUGCAAGCGUUAAUCGGAAUUACUGGGCGUAAAGCGCAUGUAGGUGGAUGAACAAGUUUGAUGUGAAAGCCCCAGGCUUAACCUGGGAAUGGCGUUGAAGACUGUUGGUCUAGAGUUUGACAGAGGGCUGUGGAAUUUCCGGUGUAGCGGUGAAAUGCGUAGAGAUCGGAAAGAACACCAGUGGCGAAGGCGGCAGCCUGGGUCAAAACUGACACUGAGGUGCGAAAGCGUGGGGAGCAAACAGG
rnacentral:rRNA from 1 species